ACGUCAGCGGCGGACGGCAAGGCGGGGAGAGGGGCAGCCCGCUCGCGGCCCUCCCGCCUGGCUCUCGCCUCGGCCUGCGGCCGGGAUCCUCCGCCCGGGUCGCGCAGCGGAGGCCGAGGGCUGGGACGGGCGGCUGGGAAGUGGGAAAGGGAGCUCCUUUUGUCUUCUCUUCCCAUCCCCCAGGUUUGGGAAAGUUUUCCUUUUGGGAAAGCCCCUCUCUUCAGCCUGCUGGCGGGUGUCGGAUUGGUUAGCGACCACCGGCCCCCGCCUCCCCCAACAGGAUUCUCCUUUGGGCCACAGGUCUUCCGGAAGUUGCCAAACCCCGGUAGCGGCAGCGUCCGGCUGGGGGCUUUAUUAGGGGGCACCGGGGUCUGCUUUCCGACUCCCUUCCGACUCCGCGCCUGCGCAGGAAGCGAUUUGGGGAGUGUUGUGAAUUCCGAGGGCUCCACACUUAAGAGGUUGUACACUCACCUGUCUACCUGGACUCCAAUUUCCAUAUUUCCAGCCACUUGAGGACUGAGAGGUGGAUGAUAAACCCUGUCAUAGUGGAGCAAGUUCAGGUGUUUAACCGCUGUUAUGGGGGAUCUGCCUUUUCUCCCUCUUCUUUCUUACUUCCAUAAGUAUGUAUGUGCAGAGAUUGAAAAAUAACCUUGAGAGAGUCCAUCCAUCUAACUCCAGUUCAUUGGAAAUUUCUGCUUCUUUGAGACUGAGGUUAUAUUCCACUUCUUCUGACUACACCACCACCAUCAAUCUCCUUCUCUGAACUCUUGGAUCAUUACUUCAACCUGAAACAACUCAUCAGGCAGAAUAGUUGCCUACUGCCCCAACCCCACCAAAUGUUCCAGCACCUCUGAUAUUACCUCACAUGGCAAGAGGGCUUUGAAGAUGUGAUUGAGUCAAGGAUCUUGAAUGGGGAGAUUAUCCUGAAUUAUUCAGCUGGACCCAGUGUAAUCACAAAGGUUUUUCAAAGAUGGAAGAGAGGCAGAAGAGCCAGAAAAGGAUAUGUGACAAUGGAGUCAGUGUCAGAGUUGGAGUGACGUGAUGUGAGAAGGAUUCAACCUGCUGUUUCUGGCUUUGAGGAUGAAAGAAGGGGCCAUGAGCCAAGCAAUACAGGUGGCUUCUUUCAAGAAGUUGGAAAAGGUAAGGAAAUGGGUUCUCACCUAGAACUGCUGGAAAGCAACCCAGCCCUACUGACACCAUGAUUUUAGCUCAGUGAGACUCUGUCCAGAUUUCUGACCUCUAGAACUAUAAGAUAAUAAAUUUGCAUUGUUUUAAGCCACUAAGUUUGUGGUAAUUUGAUAAAGCAUCAACAAAAAAUGAACACUUCUUCCCAGCAGGACUCCUUUUGAAGACCAGUUCUGUAUACAUCAUCGUAUCCAGUGUAAGUACUGGAUGUAAAUAUGGAUCAAUAAUUUGGAAUUUACUGAGGUUUCCAGUGGUGAGGCACAAUAACUUGUAAUUUGCAAUUUUUUGUAGUGGAGAAGAGAUAACCAUGAGUCAGCUCUCUUUCUGCAUACACAUUUCCAUUGCAGCACAAGUUAAAGAUACUGGAGAAAUUCCCCAUCUCACUACCAAGGACAGACCUAACUGACAAUAAAUUCAUCUAUAGCCCAGUCAGGGUUUUCCCCUCAUUGUCCCUGCCUUCCACAAUUGCAGCUAGUUUUCAAAAAGAUACAUAAAAAUAGCUACCAUGAAUUUAGCACAUGGUAUGUGCCAGGAGUUAUGCUAAAUGCUCUGCGUAUGUUAUCUUACUUAAUCCUCCAAAAUUUUCCAUGGUGGUAAAAAUAAAUGUUUCUUGUUUUCAAACUUCAGGUCAUGACUCUCAGUGGAUUUUGAAAUCAAUUUUGUAGGGAGUGAUCAGUAGUUAUUAAACAAUAAAAUAGAAUAUGAAAUAUCAUUGCAUUUCAGGAAGUAAGAGUAGGCAUAGCUUCAUCAAAUUUUGGUUUCAAUUAUAUAUAUAUCUUAUCAUGUCUAUAAAAUAAACACAUAUGUGUAUGUA
ensembl:lncRNA PARAIL palmitic acid regulated anti-inflammatory lncRNA